GGCAGUGUAGCCAAGUGGUUACGGCGCUGGCCUGCUAAUUCGCCAAAUGGAGUUAUCAGUGUAGCCAGUCCCUUCGGGGGCGCGUGUUCGAAUCACGUCACUGUCG